rnacentral:rRNA from 1 species
AGGGUUCGAUUCUGGCUCAGGACGAACGGCUGGCGGCGUGCUUAACACAUGCAAGUUGAACGGUAUGACAUGGAAGCUUGCUGAAGUGUCAUAUAGUAGCGGACGGGUGAGUAAUGCAUGAGAAGCUGCCAUUGGGAGGGGGACAACAGUUGGAAACGGCUGCUAAUACCCCGUAUGCCGGAAGGUGAAAGGGAGCGAUCCGCCCGAUGAGGUGCUCAUGUCCUAUCAGCUGGUUGGUGGGGUAACGGCCUACCAAGGCGACGACGGGUAGCCGGCCUGAGAGGGUGAACGGCCACACUGGAACUGAGAUACGGUCCAGACUCCUACGGGAGGCAGCAGUGGGGAAUAAUUGGGCAAUGGGGGCAACCCUGACCCAGCGACGCCGCGUGGGGGAAGACGGCCUUCGGGUUGUAAACCUCUUUUGUACGGGAAGAAGGAAGUGACGGUACUGUACGAAUAAGUCCCGGCUAACUACGUGCCAGCCGCCGC